CUUAUUCCUCCCAACAAGGUGAAGUGUUUGCUAUGUGCCAGGGAGCUGGGAUAUAACAACAACACCUCAUCCAUGCUUAGGCACUACAGAGCUUUGCAUGAGAAUAAGGGGAACACCGAUUGUGGAGCAAGACCAGGAGAACAAUCUCAAAUAGAUGAAGACCUGGUUAGCAUGGUGAUUGAGGACCCCCAGCCAUUUACCACUGUGGAGGACAAAGGAUUUAAAAGAUUUGUUAAAUCAUUAAAUCCUAGCUAUGUUCUCCCCACUAAAAAGGUCAUAAAAGCAGUGAAAAUUUAGU